AGUGAACGCUGGCGGUAGGCCUAACACAUGCAAGUCGAACGGCAGCACAGUAAGAGCUUGCUCUUACGGGUGGCGAGUGGCGGACGGGUGAGGAAUACAUCGGAAUCUACUUUUUCGUGGGGGAUAACGUAGGGAAACUUACGCUAAUACCGCAUACGACCUACGGGUGAAAGCAGGGGAUCUUCGGACCUUGCGCGAUUGAAUGAGCCGAUGUCGGAUUAGCUAGUUGGCGGGGUAAAGGCCCACCAAGGCGACGAUCCGUAGCUGGUCUGAGAGGGUGAUCGGCCACAGUGGGACUGAGACACGGCCCAAACUCCUACGGGAGGCAGCAGUGGGGAAUUUUGGGCAAGGGGCGCAAGCCUGACCGAGCAACGCCGCGUGAGUGAAGAAGGCUUUCGGAUUGUAAAACCCUUUUGUUGGAAAAGAAAAAGAGCUAGAUAAACCCUCAGUGUCCUGACGGUACCAAACAAGAAAGCCACGGCUAACUUCGUG
rnacentral:rRNA from 1 species